AGAGCGGUUUGUCCGACGCUGCCCUGUGAAUAGCUAUUGCCAGGGCUGGAUUUUUCAGUUGUCUGGGGGAAGGACCUCUGGCUUCCGCCCCGUGUAAGGGAGUGUUCCCUGCGCGGAUCAGAGUGUGUUAAGUAAAAAUAGAGAUUUGCAUGACUUAAGUGUGCUUCAAAUAGCAACUCGGAACUGCCUUCCAAAGUAUUUCAGGCCCUGAAAUCACUGAUGUUGGGUGGAUUAUUCUGUAGAAAAAGUAAAAAGGGGAGUUAGAAUGUCUUAAAUAUUUUUAGGGUUUUCUACUUAAUUAUCUGAUUUGUUGGGUAUGACUGCCUGUUGAAUUAUUAGUGAGAGAGGUGGCAAAGGGAUAAUUCUCUUUGUUGUACUGAUGGAAGUGUCGCUGGCAGGUUACUCAGACUGAAGAUGGUGAAGGUCUUAGUCUCUCCUGUGUUCUCUGCUGAUGUCACCACGAGGUUCAAAUGCAGAAGGCACCAUCAUUUCUCAAGAAGCAUAAGAGAAGGCAAUAUUGAUGCAAGCCACAUUAAGGAACAGCAUCCUGUUUGAGUUAAAAAGCAAGGGCUGCAGCAAACGGGUCCCUGCUGGCAGCAGAGUGAACCGUAGUUUUGUUACACCUGAAACCCUUCUGAGUGUGUUAUCCUCCUGUGCCCCAUCUCUGGAGGAGGAGGAGGAAAUCUCUGCUCAGUCCUGCAGCGCUAAUGAAUAA
rnacentral:lncRNA from 1 species